GCAUUCAUACAUACACAUCCUAAAUAUCCCCAGCAAUUGCAUCCCUUCAUGCAUCUAAUGCAUCAUCCCAUGCAUGGCAUUGCUACCCAAAGUGAAACAUCAUACAAACAUAAAAUAUCAAGAUCCAGGGUCGUCCAUAUGUAUCCCGGACUUUCCUCAUUUAAUUCAAUAGAGUUAUUACCUUGCAUGUGCUCGUGGAAUUAUUUCCCAGCCAAUCAUUCUUCAACUUUGUGAUUAAUAAUGAUAUUCCCCAACAUU
rnacentral:lncRNA from 1 species